rnacentral:rRNA from 1 species
CAGUCGCCACGGGAAUACGUAGGGGGCAAGCGUUAUCCGGAAUUACUGGGUGUAAAGGGAGCGUAGACGGUUAAACAAGUCUGAAGUGAAAUGCCGGGGCUCAACCCCGGAGCUGCUUUGGGAACUGUAGAACUGGAGUGUCGGAGGGGUAAGCGGAAUUCCCAGUGUAGCGGUGAAAUGCGUAGAUAUUGGGAGGAACACCGGCGGCGAAGGCGGCUUACUGGACGACAACUGACGUUGAGGCUCGAAGGCGUGGGGAGCGAACAGGAUUAGAUACCCCAGUAGUCCCUGUCUCUUAUAC